UACGUAGGGGGCAAGUGUUGUCCGGAUUUAUUGGGCGUAAAGAGCGUGUAGGCGGCCGGAUAGGUCCGUUGUGAAAACUGGAGGCUUAACCUCCAGCGGUCGAUGGAAACCAUCUGGCUAGAGUCCGGAAGAGGAGAGUGGAAUUCCUGGUGUAGCGGUGAAAUGCGCAGAUAUCAGGAAGAACACCCGUGGCGAAGGCGGCUCUCUGGGACGGUACUGACGCUGAGACGCGAAAGCGUGGGGGAGCGAACAGG
rnacentral:rRNA from 1 species